CCACCGAGAUUGCUGCAGCCGCCUUCAGGCUCCAACAGACGCUUCUUGGGGUUAAAGGCUCUGGAAGGGAUCCAGUAAUUUGUCUGAAUGGAAGCCGUUGGCCUCCGCUUAUCAACCAGGAGACCUUAAGGUGCCCCACUCAUUCCGAGUCGGAGACUCGGUGCUCGUAAGAAGACACCAGACCCACAGCCUAGAGCCCCGGUGGAAAGGACCCUACGUGGUGCUGCCGACCACCCCGACAGCAGUAAAAGUAGAUGACAUCACGUCUUGGAUCCAUGCCUCCCAUCUCAAGCCUGCGCCGCAGCAGCCGGGACCAGAAUGAACGGAAGCAGAAAACCCG